AUGCAUCUCAAGAAAAUAAAGAAUCUUAGUCAAAACAGGAAACUAUUGCUUGUCCGAUUUGCAGUCCAAGUUAUACAUAGAACUGUAGAUUGUACCUUCGUCAGACCGCCGUCCUCACCCCAUCAUCGUGCACCCCCGCCUGUCUGCUCACGCAUUCACAUUGAGGAAGAUGAUGAGAACCUCGGCCACGCCGCCAUCCUCUCCCCGUCAUCAUCCCUUUGCAGCUUUUCCUGUCCCGACCGCUGGAGCUUCUCGCCGCAGGGCACAAGCACCUUGCAAUCGCGGUGUGCUUCUCCCCUAGUGCUGUCAUAUAGACAUCUUGCAAGUAAGUGA
rnacentral:rRNA from 1 species